rnacentral:rRNA from 1 species
ACUCCUGCGGGAGGCAGCAGUGGGGAAUAUUGGACAAUGGGCGCAAGCCUGAUCCAGCCAUGCCGCGUGAGUGAUGAAGGCCCUAGGGUUGUAAAGCUCUUUCACCGGUGAAGAUAAUGACGGUAACCGGAGAAGAAGCCCCGGCUAACUUCGUGCCAGCAGCCGCGGUAAUACGAAGGGGGCUAGCGUUGUUCGGAUUUACUGGGCGUAAAGCGCACGUAGGCGGACUAUUAAGUCAGGGGUGAAAUCCCGGGGCUCAACCCCGGAACUGCCUUUGAUACUGGUAGUCUUGAGUUCGAGAGAGGUGAGUGGAAUUCCGAGUGUAGAGGUGAAAUUCGUAGAUAUUCGGAGGAACACCAGUGGCGAAGGCGGCUCACUGGCUCGAUACUGACGCUGAGGUGCGAAAGCGUGGGGAGCAAACAGGAUUAGAUACCCUAGUAGUCCCAUGA